rnacentral:rRNA from 1 species
GGAACGGGUGAGUAACACGGUGGGUGAUCUGCCCUGCACUUCGGGAUAAGCCUGGGAAACUGGGUCUAAUACCGGAUAGGACGAUGGUUUGGAUGCCAUUGUGGAAAGUUUUUCGGUGUGGGAUGAGCUCGCGGCCUAUCAGCUUGUUGGUGGGGUAAUGGCCUACCAAGGCGUCGACGGGUAGCCGGCCUGAGAGGGUGUACGGCCACAUUGGGACUGAGAUACGGCCCAG